AAAGAAUCUAGGUGCAGCGACCCUUAAAAAUCAGGGUCACAAACCUUCUCCGCCCUACAAGUCAUGGAGUGACAGGUAUGGAUGGGAACAAUACUGUAUUCCAGGUACACAUUCAGAAUGGCAGAGGACACCAUUGUAAUUGAGCUGUGGUGUUUAGUCCAGGAAACUCGGGAAUUAUCCCUGACACUGUGAAGGAAGUCACCAAGACAGACACUGCAUUACUGGGGCAGAUAACUCUAUCUUGACCACUAAUCAGGACUAUGGGGAGGAAACAGCGAUGCCUAGAGGUGGAGAAAUCUCCCGUGAUUAUGUGCCUAUCUGUGAAAGGAUUGCAGGCUGAUCCCAUUGUACACCACCUUACCAUUACCUAGCAGAUAGAGGGGCUGAUAAGGGACAAAACAUGACAAUGCUAACACAGAACUCCAGACCAAUUGUUACCCUCUAAUGUCUGAUUAGAGUUAGACUCAAUGUAAAUGUUAUCAUUUCAUAAAAUGAUUGAGACCUAGUGACUAUUUUCUCCUAUCUUUGUCAUCAGUGAUGUAAUGGUCAUCAAGAGAUUCUGACAUAGUG